GCCGGGGUCUCCUAGCCUGGUAGGGAGCAGGCCUGCUAAGUCUGUGUCCAUUGGGUCGCGAGGGUUCAAAUCCCUCUCCCGGCGCCA
rnacentral:tRNA from 2 species